AAAAGUGGCAAAGUUGUGUGUGCCAAAGUCUGUGUGUGCUCUUCUUCUACCUUCAGUUCGUGAGUGUGUGCUUCUUCAUCCUCGGGCUGUUCCAACAGCGCCACCGACCACGUCCGCGAGCUCUGCUACGACCUGGUCCUCUUCUCCCCGCUGCUAUACAUCCGUCUAGUUCGCCACGCCACCGCUGCUCACCCUCCGCCUCAGCUUAGUAGUUGCUCCGUUGCCGCAGCCAUCUCUCGGCCUAAUAAAUCCUGCAACUUCUGUUGAUUGAUGCGACGGACGAGGAUAAUUUGGUGGUUGCUGCUGAUGUUGGUGGUUUGAGCAUCCAUUUCAGGGACAAGACUCAAAAUUUGGAGCCACAAAGAUUAGUCCCCGCACACUACAUGUUUGAUGAAAUGCCGACAGCACCCCCAGCGACGUCUUCUUCACCUCUCUUCCCGCCCGCACACUACCUAUUCGAUGAAAUGUCCUCAAUCUAGCUGAAAACGACAAGAUAUCUGUAUUCCACACGCCUUCCCUACAGGUAUGAAGGACAACAUGACAUGCUGCACUUUUGCAUCAGAGUGAAUUAAAGAUGCUCAACACACUAUGGCUGCAAUGGUAAUUGCCAAUAAAAGCUGAAAUGGAUGAUGAGAACUGUCAGGAUUGAAGAUAUAGAUGGCAUGCAAUACGAGAUGAUCGAUCUUAUCUAUGUGAGCAAUGAAAUACAAUAUGGAUCUCACGUCCCAUAUUACAUUGAUGAGGAGCUGCUGCAGCGCGACGAUUAAAUGUGGGGAAAAAAGAUCCCAAGUCUCGUUGAAAUAUUUACGGUUUCCGUGUUGAAUUGUGGUCAAUACAAAUCCUGGACCUCAAGUCUUGUUGGAAGUCUAUGUUUCUGUGGAAAAAUGAGGCAGUGGGUGCAGCUUGUGGAAUUCAAAACAUGUAGAACGAUGGAUUCACCUUUUUGUAAUUCACCUUUUUGUAAUCAGUCAAACGAUGGAUUACAAAACUUGAGAAAUAUAUUCAGGUGGGGAGCUCCCCCCCCCCCCCCCGGUUGAUUUUUCAAAA